GGGUCUGAGCGGUCUGAGUAAAGAGUUCACAUUUCGUGAGAUUAUAUUUGGAUUUUAUAGCCUUUCCUAUAGGUUAUGAAGCCACAGAUGCCCAGCAACGUAAUCAAGCAAAACAUUGUAAAAGGACCUAAGUCAAAAAUGUAAACAAACCGGUUUUUUAAAGCAAUCGAUGCUUUUAGUCAUAAACUAUCACUGCAUGUCGAGAAAAGUAUUAAAAAAUGAUUUUUAUGAGAAAAAAACAUAAUUUUACAAAAGGCCAAAGUUUAUGACAUCUUAUUUGUUUUCAAUAUCCACUUAGACCCUUUGCAUCAAAGGACCAAUGUGGAAAAUGCUUUGUUUUGUUUUGAAAUUGUUGGUACGUUCGUUUGAGGGCUAGUUCCGCACUGAGUGCCGCACUCAGAGCUGUCAAAGUGUUUGUUUGAAGAAACUAGCGCUGGUGCCGCACGAGUUUUGCCGCCAUCUUGGAACUGAAAGUGCGAGUGCCGCACUCGAUUAUUUUCUAGUUUCGUGCGAGUUUCUCGCACACCAAUGCAAAUUGUUUGUAAACAUCAAAACAGCUGUUUAAUCUAAACAAGUUACAAUUUGAUAGCAAGAAGCUGAUUUUGUUGGUGUUAUCGAUUCCUUAGCAUGUAAUUGUUAAACAAAUUAGAAAAUCAAUCGAAUUUGGGCGGUUGGCCUUCUGUAAGAGACGGAAAUCCUCCCAGAGACGCAACUUCUGCUGGUGUACGUGAAGAAGGCUUCAUCCGGUUGGACAACAGCCGGUCAAGAUCCGCAAGGAAGACAUGCAACUUGUCGAGCCGAAAUGAAUGCCCAAGUUUGUUGAUUCACGAGAAUUUGUCGAUGCUGAACGUGAUCCUGAACCUUGGACUUGCCGCUUAUUGUGAUGCUGAUGCCCCCGAGCAAACUCCCUACUAGGACCUGAUAGCAGACAUUGUAAACCAUUGUGCCGGUACCAAUACGAGGACUUUGUAAUUCCACGCAGGAAGGAGAUCUGCUUUAAGGUUCAAAGAGGCGAACAAAGAUCAAAAAUCCGCUCAAGUAACUCCCGCUCAUUCCGAGAACCCGAGUGAUGCGAAUCGACCAUCCACACCUGCGGUGGAAACAACUCGUACAUCAAGCUUGCCAUUCGCAAAAAUGCUCCCAAGCGAAGCAACCACCGGCUCAGGAACCCCAAUCAUGCUGCCGAGCUGGCCGAGAACCGAGCUACGCGGCGCUCUUGACACCGUUUCGGAUUGCCACGCGGCUCGCAAAGGUUCUCCAAGGAAAAGGAUAAUUAUUUUCGAUGACAUAUUUCAACAGGAAACCGGAAGCAAAAGCAGAUUCACGGAAUUCAGCAAUCAUGGAUUUUUUUUUGUAUUUUUCAGAAUAAUGUAAGAACAUUGAAGAAGCGGAGGAUAAUAAAAUAUAUGAUUGGAACCCACA